UAUAUUUUCGAUAAAAAUUUAAUUAUAAAAAUUAGUUGAUAUCAAUCUAUUGACUCUAACAUUUUAUUUAUUUAUAAUAUUUAGUUUAAUAUGAAAGCUUUUUAAGUUUAAAUGAAUGUGUUUAUUUAUGCUACACACAGGUUUGAUCGGCUUACCUAUGCUCUUCUGCGCCUAGUCUUCCAAGUUACAAUUUACAUGAUUUGGAGAGAGAGGAAUGACAGGAAACACCAUAAGAGGCCAAGUCAGGCUAGCCAAUUGGCUAAGGUAAUUGGGAGAACCGUGAAAAAUCGGUUACUAUCAGUCAAAUAUUGGGAGAAACCUCAUCUGCGGGGUUUGAUGCAGCGCUGGUUCCAUGCACACUCUUAGGCUAUAAUUUCUAUAAUUAUUUUUUGUACAUAACUAUUCUUUCUUCUGAUGAUUAAUAAAUUUAACAUUUCAUCAAAAAAAAAAUCUAAAUAAAAUAAUCCUUUAAAUGAAUGUGUUUAUUUAUGAAAAUCUAAAUAAAAUAAUCCAUUAAUUUAAUUGAUUCAAAUUAAAUGAAAUUAUUUUAUAGUAUCUAAACCUUCGAAAAAUAGGGAUACUUAUUUUCACAAAUUAUUUGAAUGUUUUAGUGAAUUAUUUUAUUUAUCCAAGAAUUUAAAGGAAAUUUUACUUUUACACUUUGUUUGAUACCACUAUUCAAUUUUACCACCAAUUUAGGGACAUUUUCAUAAAUACCAUUUUUAUUAAUGAACAAAAGACAAUAGUACCCUUACCUUAUCUUCUCCUCAAUCAUCGACUCUUUCUCUCUCUUUUUGAGAUCCAUCUUCUCUUAGACUUACCGUCGAGAUCCGCCGUCUCCGUCGAGAUCCGCCGUCUCGGUCGAGAUCCGCCGUCUCCAUCGAGAUCCGCCGUCUCCGUCGAGAUCCGCCGUCUCCGUCGAGAUCCGCCGUCUCCGUCGACAUCCGCCAUCUCUCUCUCACACAACCGGCGACGAAAACGGAUUACAGAGAAUCGCGAUUCAAAGCCUUCAAAUGUUGAUUCCUGUUCAAGAUUCACAACUUGUAUGUCUCUAAUUCUUGUAUUCUUUUGUUUGUUUCGAGUAAAUAUUUGAUUUUGUUCUUUCUCUUAUCAAAAAAUCAAUAAAGUUUGCUUUAGACUUUUCAUUUGAACAUGUCGAUCUAAGAGAAACAAUUUCCAUAGUGAACAAUAUUGAGUUUUGACAACUUAAAACCCUUUAUAAAUCUGGGUUUCAAGUAAUUUUAGGGGUUUCUCCUUUCUGUUAUCCAAAAAUAGAAUAUGGUUAAUUUGGACUUGUCAUUUGAAUGGUCCCUGCUAAGAGAGAGAUUUUUUGAUAGUGAACAUUGUAUAUUAAGGAAUUAUAACCCUUUAUAAAUAUGGGUUUUAGGAUAUUGUUGAUAAUACAACUCAACGAUUUACAAGAUUUUAUAAAAGAAGUUUUUUAACAAGAGUUCAUCGCAUAUGUCUAUAGGACAACAUAUAAAUGUGUGAACUAAAGAAGUCUUGUGUUGUGUUAUUCUAUAUUAUUUGUAAGACUCUUGUCGAAAUACACGAACCCUAUGCUUGGAUAAGUUAGACAGCAAUGAAUCUUGCACAUCUUCAUGAUUGCCUCCAAGGAUUUAUGAAGCUGGAACAAAACCACUAGACAAUCCAAAAUGUUGUGCAAUUAGUUCAACAAGGAUAUAAAAUGAAGAAAAGCUAAGGGGAACGAGGAUUUGUGGCUUCACUUUUUGCAGCAUACAAUGUACGAUAAUAACACAUGAAAGAAGAUAAAAAUGAAGAGAAAAGAAAGCUUAAGAGAAAAUAAAAGUUUAUAAAUAAUUUAUAAAAAUAUAUAAAACAGUUUGUAAAGUUCAUAAGCUAUUUAUAAAGGUUUAUAUAUUAUUUGUAAGAGUCUCAAAACCAUUUAUAAAUGUUUACAUUUAUAAAAGUUUAUAAAACAAUUAA